UUUUCACUUCCUCACAAAUGCAGUAAAAUAAAAACCCUAAGGUUCUGUGACUUGAACAUACAAAUCCAGCUCAUUUCAAUGGUAACUGUACUUUUUUCUUUUCAAUUGGCAACGGAUUUUUGCUUACCUUCUCUUGGAAAUUUGGGAUUUGAAUCUUCAAUUUUUGAACAGUCAUACUUCAUUUAGGUUCAAUAAAUAGAAACCCUUCUCUUCAUUUUAAAGAAGAAGUUCAGAGACCAAAAAAAUGGUUUCUACACCAUCAAUGGGGUUUUUUUCUUUUACAACCCCAAGAGUUUAGAACAUUCAGAAACCCAGCUAAGCCGUUGAGUUUCGAGAAAGUUCUCGCUCAUGUUUAAUCUUUGGAAGUCAUUUCCAUUCGUCGAAAAUCGAUUCGGGUGAAAGGUAGUUCGUCGACUCCCGUUGCCCCCGUCAUUGCUCUAAAUGAGUGCAGAUUGUGAUGCAGAGACUGCUACUCGACCUCAUAUUUAGCUUGAGGCCAUUUGCUGACAGAUUGAGGGUGAGCUUCUACCCGUGCCAGGCCGCCCGAAGAUCUUCCUUUAUUUAAUGUCUAUUUCCAUUCCAUACAUUGAUGUUUAUUUAUUUCAGACAGUAUGGAUUCCUUACACAUGUUUCUGAUUAGAGUCCUUGUACGGUGACAUUUGAAUUUUGGGGUUGUAAUAGUUAGGACUUCCACAUUUACAUUAUUGUUUUAUGGCAUGACCACUUUUGACUUAAUCUUGCGUUUAAUUUAUUAUGAAUUGAAUGAAUAGACUAAGUAAAAAUGGACUUUAAAUGAGUAGAUGGUUGAGCAUAUUAGUUCUCCCACUAGGAGUUAGUGUGGGUGCCAGUUAUGGCGGGUUGGGUCAUGACACAAAGGUGUUAAUUGAUAAGCCACAUGCUAACAUGAACAUGAUUAACAUUUUAAGCAACUUUUCUUUUUUUUUCACCUUAAUCAGUCACUAGAUGUAAUUACUUCUUUACUAGAACACUCUUUGCUUUAUUCCUCUUGCAAUUGCGCCCUCUAAGUAUUGUAUGGAUAAGAGUGCAUUGUUGUGUUUGUCUACCUGAUUGGAAUAGUUAUGAGGUUCCAACACUUCUACACCAGAUCUGGAAAGGAUAAAAGCCUGUCUACAGUGAGACGUGAUUUGUUUUAUAUUAAAUAUCCAUGACAGUGAUUUGUGUGUUUUAUAAUUUUUUGAAUCUGGUUACUCCCUUUUUUACUGGAAUUACCUAUCAAUGUUAAAAUAUGAACUUAUUUCUAGUGCUGCAUUUUCCUUUCAACUCUGUCUUGGAUGUUAGUUGGAUGGAAGUAUGUUUUUAUUUCAAAUUCUAUAUGUCCCAGCAUUUUUUAUUGAAUUCAGGAAGGAUUAGGGAAGUUCUUCAAAGAUAAAAUCAUGUCUUUUGUCUAGGUUUCCUUUUACACUAUGUUGAUGUAAUCUUAUCAUGUUUAGCCUUUUUCUAUUAUGCCUUCAAUCGGUUCUACUAUUUCUACUAUGGAUCUUUUCACUGUCUUUUCCUUUUCAAAGCACUCCCUGUCUGUUCAGAUGGCUUUAAUUUUAUUAGAUUAAUCCAUGUAGGAUUCUGGGAUUUAAUUUUCUUAUGAAUAGCCUCUGUGUGAUUUGAUGGUGUGCUAUUUGUAUAAGAAUGAAUAAUAUCUCUGGAGCAUAAGCAAAGGGCUUAAAGGAUUUCCCUGUUUUCUCAUCGAAAUGUUGGACUGAAUAGGAGUUAACCUUGGUUUCUGGCUUAGCAAUUUAACCACUCAAGUUUACAGUAGUUUUUUAUUGAAGUACAAUACUUUCUUCCUCCCAAACUAUAUUUGAAUGCUAAUAUGUUGUCUUGGUUCUGGUCUUUGUGAAAGAUACUGAUUUUAUUUGAACUUGAUUUUCAGCUCUUAUUAUGGAUAAAAAUGUGUUGAGAAGCUUGAGCAUCAGUUAAUUUAGUAGUCUUCUUUCCUUUUUUUGUUCUUCUGUGGUUGUUUUUUUCCUCUGUUAAAGACUGGAUUAGCCACUAGUAAAUCAUGAGAAAAUUAUAAGUAUGUUGCUUUCAUUUUGACAUCAUUUAGGUCUACCUAAAUUUUAAGGUCAAAUGCAGCUAGCCAUUAAAUCUGAAUGUGUUAGCUGCUGGAGGUAUAUUUUCUAUUUACUUUUGUUAAAAGAAACAGAUCAGUAGCUUAAGGGGAUUUUUAGGACCAAGUCAGAACUUUCUUUGAAACAGUAAUGAUUACCUCUUGUUUUAACUAAAUUUGCUAGUCUGUUUUUUUUAAAGAUGCCUUGUUUGAGUAAAGGACAUUUAAAGAUUAAGUAGUUGAAACACCUUUUGAGUUCACUUCUCUUGAAGGGAUACUGAGUUGGGUUGGUGUUUUCUCUUGCUGGCAACUAUUCCUACAUGAUUGGCUACCAAACAUUUUCUUAAGUUAAGUUCGUUCCUGAUUUUUAGCAUCAAAGGCUUAUAUCUUUGGUAACUUUGUGAAAUCUGGAUAGUUUUGUAUGGCAUGAAACUGUUGUAUGUGUUCACUUGCUUUAUGACUCUAUAUCCUGAUUCUUGCUUGAUAAACUUGGCUAAGUUGUGAUAAUAACACAACCAUAUGAAAUGCUUCAUCAUUUCUUGGCUUGAUACUUAUUCUUUACCCUUCCUUUUCUUUGCAUGACUUGGGGAAAUUUCCUAAUCUCAAAUGUUCAUGAGUUGCUGUUGAAUCUGGAGGCUCUCAAAGUGUUGUGCUUGGAUAAGUUGCUGCUACUGUUUUGCAUAUGUAACAUCUUUCAGGUAUUGCUACCUUUUGAGACCAUGUGUUACAUGUUGAUGUCCCGUUUUGGCUGUCGCACUUUGGAUAAUUAAGUUGCUGCCAUGUUUUGUUGAUUGAGCUAUUGUUGCAGUCUAAAUUGAUGUGUUCUUUGAGCAAAUUUGUGGCUUAAGCUUGUGCAAACAAGUGCUGCAUUUUUUUGGCCAUCUUGCUGAAGCAUCAUGAGGCCUUGAGCUGCUAUGUUUUUGGACUGAAUAUAUGCUAAAUUUUUUGGCCUUUCUACUGCUACUUAUUGAUCUCACUUUGUUGCGGCAUUAAGGCUACCACUAUGUUGUAUUUUUCUUGGAUAAGUUAUUAUUGCCCCUUUGAGGCUAAUAACUGCUACAUUAAGACACACCUUGGCAAGGAAGUGCUAAUUGAACUCUUACUUGAUUCUUUUCUUAUAAUGUUCUGCUAGUUAAAGCUCAAGGCAAAUAGUGGGAUUGGCUUAGCCCCUCUAAUAGCCUGUCAUGCUUAAGGUUCUAAAAACCUUUGGAUCUAGUUGUGGCAUUAGAAUAUUGAGGGUGGUAGCCUUCCCCUUUGCCUUUUUUUCCAAAGGGUUGAUCUCUGAAGACUAUUUUCUUCCAUUGUGUUUUCAAAGUGACUGACUCAGUACAUUUGGAGUGCUGGACUGCUGCUUUUAGUUAAGGUUUUAUUGUUGUUUUGGAAGUUGUUAAUGUGAUAACUAAAAGCAGUCCACUGUUUUAUUUUAAGCAUCUGUCUAUUUGUUAAACUCAUGUUUUAAAGACUAGGAAAGAUAAGCAUACACGUCAUUCUAAAACUCCUUCAUGAUCUGAAUAUGUCUGAUGCCUUGUUAUAAUGUUUGUGACCAACCCUUAAGUUCAUUUUCUUUCCUGAAGCAUAAUUCUCUAGUUGGGUAUUUUCAUUUCUUGAUACCAUGCCCAGGAGUUCGUUAAUACAUGUUUCUUUGAGUAAAUUGAGUUUUCAAUCAAAACCAUGGUCUUUUGGACAUUCUAGGAUAUAUUUUGAUGCUUGCAUAGUGGUACUUACAUGUGCAUUUAGUGACUUCUAGAAGUUCAUUUUCUCAUAAGCAUGAAUUUGUAUCUGCUAUUUUUUUUAGUUACAAUAAAUGGUAGACUUCCCUGAGUUAUUUGCCAGUGCCAUGUGUGUAAAGCCUAAAUGAAUAUUGCUCUUUGAAUAUCCACAAACCUUUUUCUUAAAAAAAACUGUUUUAGAUCAGCAAACUUACCACCUUUGUUGCAGUAGAAAAUUUAUAAUUGGAGAUAAUUAUUCGCAAAGCUACUUUUAAAACAUAAGAGGGUGUUGAUGGAAUCUUUUAUGUGUUAGAUAAUGUUCCAGUUUUGAAACCUCUUUAUUUCAACUUGUCAACAGUUUUCCUCUUUUGUAAUAGCAGUUUGAAUUGGAUAAUCUUUCCUUGUAUCAACUUAAGUAUUAGCUGCUGUUUGGUUGUUUCAAAACUGUAGCUGGCUGGGAUUUUGUUUAGCUAGAAUGCUUCUCAUCUGAAAUGUACAUUUUUCAAUUAUUGUAUUUAAAAGGUGAAUCUCUUUUCUUUUGAAACAAGCUGCAUGUGGAAUACUAAAAUAGUCACCAACUUGUUUAUUUUCUAUUUGAGUAAAUGCUUAUGAAAAGUUAUGUUGAGCUGGUCACCCAUACCUACAUAGCCCCCUUUUUUUCCCUUUUUUAAACUGUCACUCAUUUCAGUCAUACUAAAAAUAAAUGAACUAAAAAGAUCUCCCCUACAAAUUCUUAAGUUUAUUUCAGUCCAUAAGUUUCCUGAUGAAAAAAAAAAAACUCCUUCAAAUUCAACCUGCUUGAUUAUCUACGAAUGUUUAAUGACAUGUAUGUGUCCUUAAUCUCAAUCUGAGAUGGUUAUUUAAAUAAGUAUCUAUUUAUGUUUUUUUUGUUAAAAAUAUGCAUUGUUUGAUACUCAUUCCUUUACCCUUCUUUUCUUUGCAUGACUUGGGGAUAUUGCCCAAUCCCAAAUGCUCAUGAGCUUCUAUUGAGCCUGGGAGAAGUUACAUCAUUUUGGUUGAAUGUUUGUUAUAUCUAUGGGGCUGGAAGAUGCCAUGUUGUUGAGGUCAUUUGAGUUGUUGUUGCGCUGAAAAUAGUCACUGCUUUUGGCUGAAUGUUUGUUGUAUCUUUGGGGCUGGAAGAUGCCAUGUUGUUGAGGUCAUUUGAGUUGUUGUUAUGCUGAAAAUAGUCACUGCUUUUGGCUGAAUUUUGUUGUAUCUUGGAUGGAAGAGGCCAUGUUUUUGAGGUCAUUUGAGUUGCUAUGGUGGUGAAAAUAGUUACUGCAUUUUGGUCGAUUGGUUGCUACAUUUUGAGUGAAUUUGCUGGUGCCAUUUGGUUUACAGUUGCUGCAUUAUUAGCAAAACUGCUAGAUUUUUGGCCAAAACGCCUUGCAUUUUUAGUCUGAAAUGAGUUGUAUUUUCAAGGCACUUUCUGGCCAAAUUGUGCUAUCUUUAAGGCUCUAAAUCUGUAGUUAUUUGGUUGAUGUUUAGUUGCCAUUUGAGCUGAAUAACUGAGCUACUUUGAGACAGUAUUGAGGGCAAUUGCUGGUACCAUUUAAAGGAUAAGUUGUUUGCUGCUCUGCCACAUUUUUAGCAGUUGGGAAUAGCUGCUACACUUGUAGUUGCAGCACUUUUAGGGUCACUUCGAGCUGUUAGCUACGCUACUCCAAGCUGCUUUGCUUUGAGAUAAUACUUUGUGAAGAAAUUACUAUUACACACAACAGCAGAACUUUGAAUAAUUUUUCAUCUUUGGGAAAAAAAUCCUAUUUUGGUGAUAGAUUUCAAACAGAUGCUACACUUGAGAAAAGAGAUGUAGCAGUAACUAUAUUUUGAUACACUAUUUAUUUCUGGCUAGGAGCAGAUUUUUGUACUUGUUUUUUUUUUACUACUUUGAACGGAUACUACACUUGGGCCAAUGAAAAAAAUAAUUUUUGAGGCCAUGCAUAGCCCGGAAAGGUUAUCCCUCGGCUUAGGCAGUGAUGAUCUCACAGUUAUAUCACGAGGUAGGAACCAACAUGCGCUUGGCAAGGCAACUAGAAUGGCCACUACUUUGUAGCCGCGACAUGAUUCAAGUUCCUUUGCCAUAUUCGGAACUGUGAGUCUGAGCCUCCGUAAUCAAAGCUCUCAAAGUUUGAUACGAGUCCGCGGGAUAUUAUUUAUGUUCCUAAACGUCACCCUACCGGGGGGGGGGGGGUAUCAUUUUGACUAACUACUUUCCAUUUCAUUGUGCGAGGUACCAAUAAAGCAAGCACGGAAAGCAAAACUUAAGGACGAAAUAAAAGGAUCAGAUGCUAGCUUCGGACGAAGACUAGAAGAGUAUGGGAUUUGGGCCCAAGGCCGACAAAGCUAAACAUUCUUCCCUUCUUAUUUUUGUAUGAAAAAUGCUUAUUUUAUAUGUUUACAUUCACUUUGUAUGAACAUGCUUGUCGCUGUAAAUAUUUGUAUAGAUAUUGAAACUCUUAUAAGUGGGAACCUAGGAUUCAGGUAGAUGAUAUUUCAAAUUGUACCCGAACGAUAAAAGAGUUGUAUUCCAUUUGAUUAAUGUAACUAAAAGUGAAAGAAUGUUUUCUUGUACAAAAA